rnacentral:rRNA from 1 species
UACGAAGGGGGCUAGCGUUGUUCGGAAUUACUGGGCGUAAAGCGUGCGCAGGCGGUUCGUUGUGUCGGCGGUGAAAGCCCCGGGCUUAACCUGGGAAUGGCCGUCGAAACUGGCGAACUGGAGUGUGGCAGAGGGGGGUGGAAUUCCCAGUGUAGAGGUGAAAUUCGUAGAUAUUGGGAAGAACACCGGUGGCGAAGGCGGCUCUCUGGACCGUAACUGACGCUGAGGCGCGAAAGCGUGGGGAGCAAACAGG